AUCCUGGCUCAGAAUCAACGCGGGCGGCGCGCCUAACACAUGCAAGUCGAGCGAGAAAGGGGGGCAACUCCUGAGUACAGCGGCGUACGGGUGAGUAACACGUGGGUAAUCUACCUCUUAGUGGGGAAUAACCCUGGGAAACCGGGGCUAAUACCGCAUAAGCCUGAGAAGGGAAAGCAGAAAUGCGCUGAGAGAGGAGCCCGCGGCCGAUUAGCUAGUUGGUGAGGUAACGGCCCACCAAGGCAAAGAUCGGUAGCCGGCCUGAGAGGGCACACGGCCACACUGGCACUGAAACACGGGCCAGACUCCUACGGGAGGCAGCAGUGGGGAAUCUUGCACAAUGGGGGAAACCCUGAUGCAGCGACGCCGCGUGAGCGAUGAAGCCCUUCGGGGUGUAAAGCUCUUUCGGCAGGGAAGAUAAUGACGGUACCUGCAGAAGCAGCUGCGGCUAACUACGUGCCAGCAGCCGCGGUAAUACGUAGGCAGCAAGCGUUGUUCGGAGUUACUGGGCGUAAAGGGUGUGUAGGCGGUUCUUUAAGUUUGUCGUGAAAUCUCCCGGCUCAACCGGGAGGGUGCGGCGAAUACUGAGGGGCUAGAGUGCGGGAGAGGAAAGUGGAAUUCCUGGUGUAGCGGUGAAAUGCGUAGAUAUCAGGAGGAACACCGGCGGUGUAAACGGCUUUCUGGACCGCAACUGACGCUGAGACACAAAAGCGUGGGUAGCAAACAGGAUUAGAUACCCUGGUAGUCCACGCCCUAAACGAUGCAUAUUUGGUGUGGGUCAUUCAGUUGAUCCGUGCCGGAGCUAACGCGUUAAAUAUGCCGCCUGGGGAGUACAGUCGCAGGGCU
rnacentral:rRNA from 1 species